CGCCAGACUCCUACGGGAGGCAGCAGUGGGGGAUAUUGCACAAUGGGGGGAACCCUGAUGCAGCGACGCCGCGUGGGUGAAGGAGUAUUUCGGUAUGUAAAGCCCUAUCGGCAGGGAAGAAGGAGGACGGUACCUGACUAAGAAGCCCCGGCUAACUACGUGCCAGCAGCCGCGGUAAUACGUAGGGGGCAAGCGUUAUCCGGAUUUACUGGGUGUAAAGGGGGCGCAGACGGCAGCGCAAGCCAGGAGUGAAAGCCCGGGGCCCAACCCCGGGACUGCUCUUGGAACUGCGCGGCUGGAGUGCAGGAGGGGCAGGCGGAAUUCCUGGUGUAGCGGUGAAAUGCGUAGAUAUCAGGAGGAACACCGGUGGCGAAGGCGGCCUGCUGGACUGCGACUGACGUUGAGGCCCGAAAGCGUGGGGAGCAAACAGGAUUAGAUACCCCAGUACC
rnacentral:rRNA from 1 species